rnacentral:tRNA from 1 species
UGCGGGAUAGCGCAGUUGGUAGCGCGUCUGUUUCGUAGGCAGAAUGUCGCCGGUUCGAGCCCGGUUCCCGCAACCA